CAGUAGCCGCGGGAAUACGAAGGGGGCUAGCGUUGUUCGGAAUCACUGGGCGUAAAGGGUGCGUAGGCGGAUUCUUAAGUCAGGGGUGAAAUCCCGAGGCUCAACCUCGGAACUGCCUUUGAUACUGGGGAUCUUGAGUCCGGAAGAGGUGAGUGGAACUGCGAGUGUAGAGGUGAAAUUCGUAGAUAUUCGCAAGAACACCGGUGGCGAAGGCGGCUCACUGGUCCGGAACUGACGCUGAGGCGCGAAAGCGUGGGGAGCAAACAGGAUUAGAUACCCCAGUAGUCCUGUCUCUUAUACA
rnacentral:rRNA from 1 species